GCACCACGGUCAUGUUCCCUCCGAUGACAUCUGGUUUCCAAAAAAAGCAAACUAAUUCUGCUAAACAAGAAGUCCCCGCUCUUCCUACCAGACUCAACAACAGACCUGAACCCAGUGAACCAUCUCAAAAGGAUCCGCUCCGCUAUGCAGUUCCUCGCUCUCUGCUUGUCUCCUCUCUUCUUCUGGAUCCGCCCGACCUCUCACCCUGCUCUCUCAUGGGAUUCCC